rnacentral:rRNA from 1 species
AGUCGAACGAUGAUCCCAGCUUGCUGGGGGAUUAGUGGCGAACGGGUGAGUAACACGUGAGUAACCUGCCCUUGACUCUGGGAUAAGCCUGGGAAACCGGGUCUAAUACUGGAUAUGACCUUCUGGCGCAUGCCAUGUUGGUGGAAAGCUUUAUUGCGGUUUUGGAUGGACUCGCGGCCUAUCAGCUUGUUGGUGGGGUAAUGGCCUACCAAGGCGACGACGGGUAGCCGGCCUGAGAGGGUGGACGGCCACACUGGGACUGAGACACGGCCCAGACUCCUACGGGAGGCAGCAGUGGGGAAUAUUGCACAAUGGGCGCAAGCCUGAUGCAGCGACGCCGCGUGGGGGAUGAAGGCCUUCGGGUUGUAAACCUCUUUCAGUAGGGAAGAAGCGAAAGUGACGGUACCUGCAGAAGAAGCGCCGGCUAACUACGUGCCAGCAGCCGCGGUAAUACGUAGGGCGCAAGCGUUAUCCGGAAUUAUUGGGCGUAAAGAGCUCGUAGGCGGUUUGUCGCGUCUGCCGUGAAAGUCCGGGGCUUAACUCCGGAUCUGCGGUGGGUACGGGCAGACUAGAGUGAUGUAGGGGAGACUGGAAUUCCUGGUGUAGCGGUGAAAUGCGCAGAUAUCAGGAGGAACACCGAUGGCGAAGGCAGGUCUCUGGGCAUUAACUGACGCUGAGGAGCGAAAGCAUGGGGAGCGAACAGGAUUAGAUACCCUGGUAGUCCAUGCCGUAAACGUUGGGCACUAGGUGUGGGGGACAUUCCACGUUUUCC